UAGGGAAUCUUCCGCAAUGGACGCAAGUCUGACGGAGCAACGCCGCGUGAGUGAAGAAGGAUUUCGGUUCGUAAAACUCUGUUGUUAGAGAAGAACAGCGCAUAGAGUAACUGUUAUGCGUGUGACGGUAUCUAACCAGAAAGCCACGGCUAACUACGUGCCAGCAGCCGCGGUAAUACGUAUGGAGCGAGCGUUGUCCGGAAUUAUUGGGCGUAAAGGGUACGCAGGCGGUUUAAUAAGUCGAAUGUUAAAGAUCGGGGCUCAACCCCGUAAAGCAUUGGAAACUGAUAAACUUGAGUAGUGGAGAGGAAAGUGGAAUUCCUAGUGUAGUGGUGAAAUACGUAGAUAUUAGGAGGAAUACCAGUAGCGAAGGCGACUUUCUGGACACAAACUGACGCUGAUGUACGAAAGCGUGGGGAGCAAACAGG
rnacentral:rRNA from 1 species